rnacentral:lncRNA from 1 species
CAGCCAUUGCUCCUGCUGCUGCGACAAGCCACUACUUGUUGUUGCUGUCAGCAGAGUAGGUGUUACGAUAUAUUUUAUCUAUAUUAGGAUGUUAUGAUAUAUUAGGAUAUUGUAUAUUAUUGCCUUAUAUAGAGUAGUAUCAUUGCCUUCUAUAGAGUAGGAUUAUAUAGUAUGUAAUCCUAGUUAUACUCUUACUAUAGUAGUCAUUGUUACUAUAGUAAGACAAUCUCUUGUACUAUAUAUAUUCAUUAAUACAACUAAAGAGGGUAUGCACUUUAGCCCUUCUUUCAUGGUAUCAGAGCGGGAACCCUAAUGUGGGAAUAUCGAUCCAUAGCCACCAUCUACCAUUAAUCUCACGUUUUUCUAUAGGUGUUUUUUUUUUUGGUUUUCUAUCUUCCCAGUACUGCUACAGUACUGCUACAAUAUUAUUGCUACAGUACUGGCGCUACAGUACCGGCGCUACAGUAUUUCUGCUACAGUAUUUUCAGACUCUCUGUGAUUCCUCUUUGCUCCUCUGGUGCCGCUCGGAUUGUCCUACUGUUGGUUGCUCGUAUCGCUCGGUUCUUUCCUUGGUGCGGUCGAUCUUAUUUGGUGAUAAGUGGUUCCUCUCAUGUGGUAGAAUUCAGGUUCUUNCUUAUAUAGAGUAGUAUCAUUGCCUUCUAUAGAGUAGGAUUAUAUAGUAUGUAAUCCUAGUUAUACUCUUACUAUAGUAGUCAUUGUUACUAUAGUAAGACAAUCUCUUGUACUAUAUAUAUUCAUUAAUACAACUAAAGAGGGUAUGCACUUUAGCCCUUCUUUCAGUAGGAGAAGAAGAAGAUCAUGAUGACGAAGAUGGAGGUGUAGACUUCUUAUUGCUGUCGCCUGCUAUGCUAUUGAUAAUCUGUUGCUGUUAUGCUGGCUGCUGUCAGCACUACGCAGGAAGAAGGGCAGGGAGAGAGUGAGGAGAGGGAAGAGGACGAAGAGAGAGUGAGGAGGGGGAAGAGAAGGAGAAGAAUGGAAGAAGAAGGAUAAGAAAUGAAGAGAAUUUGGGGUUUCAGCUGGUUUUUGCUACCU